UAAUACGUAGGGUGCGAGCGUUAAUCGGAAUUACUGGGCGUAAAGCGCGCGCAGGCGGCUCUUUAAGUCUACCCGUGAAAUGCCGGAGCUCAACUCCGCGCACGCCGGGGGAUACUGGAGGGCUGGAGACAGGUAGAGGCAGGCGGAAUUCCGGGUGUAGCGGUGGAAGGCGUAGAGAUCCGGAAGAACACCAGAGGCGAAGGCGGCCUGCUGGGCCUUGUCUGACGCUGAGGCGCGAAAGCGUGGGGAGCGAACAG
rnacentral:rRNA from 1 species